rnacentral:rRNA from 1 species
AUUGAACGCUGGCGGCAUGCUUUACACAUGCAAGUCGAACGGGCUUAGGGGCUUGCUCCUAAGUUAGUGGCGAACGGGUGAGUAAUACAUCGGAACGUACCGUGUAGUGGGGGAUAACGUAGCGAAAGUUACGCUAAUACCGCAUACGAUCUACGGAUGAAAGUGGGGGACCUUCGGGCCUCACGCUAUACGAGCGGCCGAUGUCUGAUUAGCUAGUUGGUGAGGUAAAGGCUCACCAAGGCAACGAUCAGUAGCGGGUCUGAGAGGAUGAUCCGCCACACUGGGACUGAGACACGGCCCAGACUCCUACGGGAGGCAGCAGUGGGGAAUUUUGGACAAUGGCGAAGCCUGAUCCAGCCAUGCCGCGUG